UUGUGGGCCAGGCCGGGGAGCCAGCGGUUCCCUGCACCGGAAAACCGCUUUAUGCCGGGGCUGAAGCCUGAGAGGCGGGUCCUUUCAGUCAAUGGUUCUUUUGGCUGACAGUGACCUUCUGUCCCUUGAGAUUGGUUUUUUGAGUUAAUCCCGCUAGGCCUUGACCGGAGCAACGGUAGCUUAACUGAUCAGUGCUUAAGGCAAAACGGAAGCGAGGAAACCAGAAGGCUCAAGCCUUUGGCUGAACUGCACUCCACUUUCGGGCGGCCCACAC
rnacentral:SRP_RNA from 2 species